AAUACGCAUGCGCAGUCGACCACUGAAGACGUUCUUUGCUCGAGAGGGAUUGGCGGCAGCGAGAAGGCAGUGCAGGUGUGCGAGUUACUUUCAGGCUUUGAAAAACCUGGCAAUGAAUUAUUCUGGCUGAGUUCUGUCACUUAUCAAGCAAAAAUCUGAGUUGCAAUCAGAUUUCUUCAAAGAUCUCGACAAAUACACUCCUCGCUUCCUGGAGAAGUUCAAAACCCAGAGGGGGAAAGUGUCGGACAGAAACCUGAAUAUCUGCAACAAGUCACACCUGGGAGUACAGAUGUGACUGGGAGGUGAACAGCAGUCCUCCGUGGCUCUCCCGUCAUCCUUGUAGAUGACAACGCAGACUUCUUCAAGAAUUUGUGUGAGUUUAGGAUGGCGUGAAGCUUCGACUUGACCCUAUGAAAACACAGCAGAUGCCACCAAAGGGUCCUGAUCGGGGCG